UACAGGGGGGGCAAGCGUUGUUCGGAAUUACUGGGCGUAAAGGGUUCGUAGGUGGCCACCUAAGUCAGACGUGAAAUCCCUCAGCUUAACCGGGGAACUGCGUCCGAUACUGGCAGGCUUGAAUCCGGGAGAGGGAUGUGGAAUUCCAGGUGUAGCGGUGAAAUGCGUAGAUAUCAAGAGGAACACCUGCGGCGAAGGCGGGUUGCUGGGCCGACACUGACGCUGAGGCGCGAAAGCCAGGGGAGCGAACGGG
rnacentral:rRNA from 1 species